rnacentral:lncRNA from 1 species
UUUUUUAAAAUGUUUUUAUUGUUGCUAAAAUCAUUGGAAUACCAGGGCUUACAUGUGGCAAUGAAGUUGCUAAUUUGCACACCCCAUCCCAAAACACAUGCCUCCCACUUGGAGAGGAAGCCUGUCCCACUGGGUUGUGUGGCAAAGAGGGGAGAUUAGAUUGCUCUGCUGUACAGAGAUAGAUCCCAACUGGAGGAGAAAAGAAGGAAUUGAGGCAAGAAGCAUAGUUAAUUCUCCCAAAUCCAGCCUUCAGGCAAGCCACUCCCUCUUACAUGGGGAUGAGUGAGUCAGAGGAGAGUGAUGGAGCAAAAUCCUCUGUGGAGGCUGCUCCACUGGAAAGAUUAGGAAGGAAGAUAGGUGUCACCUACCUAAUCUUUUGGAGUAUCAUUUUUAUUAUCUUUAAAAUAAUACCCACAUCACAGCAUUGGAGUGAAGACAAAAUAUAAGAAAUGCAAAGUAAUUUAGCACAGCAUCUGGCAGAUAGUAUGUAUACCAUAAGUCAUUAAUAUAUUUAUUUGUAUCUUUACAUAUGAGGGAAGGACUUGAAUGCACCAUUAGAUGAGAAGAGAACUAGUAUGUUUUGAGAACUUUCUAUAUUUCAGUUACAUGCACCCUAAUUUAUUCCCUACUCAGAACAAAGCAGUAAGGUGAUAAUGUUCUUUUUUACAGGUAACAAAACUGAGGCUGAGAGGAAACAUGGACAAGUAAUUGAAUGGGGGUCAGAACAGAUCCACCCACUUUCCACUGCCAAAGUAAAAAGAAGACUCAGGUGGUACAAUGUUAUUCAGGAGAGGAAGUGAUGGGCUAGAAGGAACAGCCCAUUACAGAGCACUUCAGUUUGAGGAGACAAUAUUGGCUAAGAACAGGGCUUAGAGAGGGGCACUGCAAAGGGUGGUAAAGGCCACUGGGUAAGAAGGCUCCUGAGGUCGAGGUGCUGAUGGGUUCUCACCAUGGGCAUGAACAUCUUCUGGAAGGAGAUUGAAAGUGGCAUGCAGGAAAACACCAACUGGCAAGUAGACAGAUUUUGAAGGAUUUUCAGCAGUAGCGUUCACAUGGUAUCAGCUUUCAAUGAGGGUAACGAGGUACAGAGAUUCAUGUGGUAUCCCCCAUAGCCACACAGAACAUGGUUAUCCUAGGAAGAAAAAUAGAGUAGACUGUAACUUUAUCAGAAAUGUGUUGCUAUGUAGAAAACCUGAAACAAAAAUGACAAAAUGCUAACAUUUGUCC